UACGGAGGGUGCGAGCGUUGUCCGGAAUCACUGGGCGUAAAGGGCGCGUAGGCGGCCUGAUAAGUAGGGGGUGAAAUCCUGCGGCUUAACCGCAGGGCUGCCUUCUAAACUGUCGGGCUAGAGCACGGUAGAGGCAGAUGGAAUUCCCGGUGUAGUGGUGGAAUGCGUAGAGAUCGGGAGGAACACCAGUGGCGAAGGCGGCCCUCUGGGCCGGGUCUGACGCUGAGGCGCGAAGGCGUGGGGAGCGAUCCGG
rnacentral:rRNA from 1 species